GGUAAGGUGGCUGAGUAAGUGGUGGAUUGUAGCUCCAUAUACAGAGGUUUAAGCCCUCUUCUUAUCA
rnacentral:tRNA from 1 species